CCUACGGGGGACAGCAGUAGGGAAUAUUGCUCAAUGGGGGAAACCCUGAAGCAGCAACGCCGCGUGGAGGAUGAAUGUUUUCGGGUUGGAAACUCCUUUUGUUAGAGAAGAUAAUGACGGUAUCUAACGAAUAAGCACCGGCUAACUCCGUGCCAGCAGCCGCGGUAAUACGGAGGGUGCGAGCGUUACUCGGAGUCACUGGGCGUAAAGAGCGCGUAGGCGGGUUAGCAAGUCAGAUGUGAAAUCCUAUGGCUUAACCAUAGAAUUGCAUUUGAAACUGUUAGUCUAGAGUAUAGGAGAGGUAGGUGGAAUUCGUGGUGUAGGGGUAAAAUGCGUAGAGAUCAAGAGGAAUACUCAUUGCGAAGGCGACCUGCUAGAACAUCACUGACGCUGAUGCGCGAAAGCGUGGGGAGCAAACAGGAUUAGAUACCCCAGUAGUC
rnacentral:rRNA from 1 species